rnacentral:misc_RNA from 1 species
UACGGAGGGUGCAAGCGUUGUUCGGAAUCAUUGGGCGUAAAGCGCGCGCAGGCGGCCACUUAAGUCGACUGGUGAAAGGCCGGGGCUCAACCCCGUGCUUGCCGGCGAUACUGGGUGGCUGGAGACAGGUAGAGGCAAGUGGAAUUUCGGGUGUAGCGGUGGAAUGCGUAGAGAUCCGAAAGAACACCGGAGGCGAAGGCGGCUUGCUGGACCUGUUCUGACGCUGAGGCGCGAAAGCGUGGGGAGCGAACCGG